rnacentral:tRNA from 1 species
GUGGCCGUGGUGUAGCGGACUGCACGUCCGGCUGUGAACCGGAAAGCGAGGGUUCGAGUCCCUCCGAUCACCCCU